rnacentral:rRNA from 1 species
GGGUCAGUAGGUUGGUCGUGCCACCGGUACGUACUGGUCUCACUGAUUCCUCCUUCCUGAAGAACCGUAAUGCCAUUAAUUUGGUGUUGCGGGGAAGCAGGACUGUUACUUUGAAAAAAUUAGAGUGUUUAAAGCAAGCUAACGCUUGAAUACAUCAGCAUGGAAUAAUGAAAUAGGACGAUCGAUCCUAUUUUGUUGGUUUCUAGGAUUGACGUA